rnacentral:misc_RNA from 1 species
GAUGAAGAACGUAGCGAAAUGCGAUACUUGGUGUGAAUUGCAGAAUCCCGUGAACCAUCGAGUCUUUGAACGCCAGUUGCGACUCAAGCCAUUAGGUUGAGGGCACGUCUGCCUGGGCGUCACAUAUCGUUGCCUGAUGCCAGUUUCCUCGUGAUGGGUGACUGUGCAGGGCGAAUGAUGGCUUCCCGUGAGCAUUGUUGCCUCAUGGUUGGUUGAAAAUUGAGUCCUUGGUAGGGAGCGCCGUGAUAGAUGGUGGUUGAGUGACGAACGAGACCCAAUCAUGUGAGACCCCUAUCGAAUUUGGCCUUCAUGACCCACAUGCGUCUUUGGAACGCUCAUGACGAGACCUCAGGUCAGGCGGGGCUACCCGCUGAGUUUAAGCAUAUCAAUAAGCGGAGGA